GAAGCGCCAUCCUCCUCUAUUGAUCGUCGGUGGCCAUCCAAGAUGGCGCCGAAAGUGGCGUUCGCGCUCAGUCUGAUCUUCGUCAUCGGACACUUUAAGGAAGGGCAGACAUCCCUAACCAAGACUUUCACGUUUCCAGAGUACCCCUACAAAGAGACUACCAAGAACGAAUUCCUCUUCCGACAAUUCGAGCAAGCUUGCGAAGAGAGCGGCGCUUGUAAAAUGUUAUCGCAACAGGCGAGCAGUGUCGCCAAAACACGAUGCAUCCGGGAGUGCGUUUCUCCUUCUUGCUAUAAAGAAAUUUAUUUGUUCGAUCAGCUGGAGGAGGGAGAAAUCGACGUCAGGUUAAAUUCAUUUAAGGGCUGUUUUAUGCAACGUAACGGACGUCCGCGCAAAUAAAUAAGCCAUACCUUUCGACCAAUUGAAACGUCGAUGUAUUUAUUGCUAACUACUAUCUUGGGAAAGUCAACCUUCGUUCUGCUUACGUUGACGACGAACAAGUGGAGAUUGGAGAAGAAGAUCCAGCUAAAGAAUACAAAAAAAAAAAAACCGUCUUACACACAUCUUUGACGACGACAUUUAGAGAUUCGACAAUUAGAUAAUCUUUUUCUACUUUUUGUAUGCACAAAUAACUUUAAUACCAAUAGAAUAUUGCACAGCAUAUUAAAAGAAAACAAAAAAAAAAUAUUGAAAAUCCUCACCUUCCUCGCAUCCAAUGAUACGAGUUGACGAAAUCUUGUAAUUUUUGAAGAAGGAUAACUAAACAAACAUAAUGAAAUAAAUAUUGUAACGAUUUAGUAAUAAUAUGUGAAUGUUAUAUUAAAAAUAUAUACAAGCGAUACGAUCUCACCGCAUGAUACAAUUUCGAGGACGCUUCGUCUUCGUCUUUCGAUUGAAGAAAAUUCACAUAUUCUGAUAAUUGUUCCAUAGUUUCAUCAAAUGGUGAUUUAAACAAGGAUCUUGAGUUAGCCGGUACUUCGUCGUCGCCAUAUAUCUUUCGAAAUCGAAGCCAAGUGGUGACGAAUUGAAGAAAAUGUGAAGAUAAAGAUCGAGAUUUUGCUAUUCCAAUGACGAGGUCGUAAUUACUAAUUGCUGUACAUAGAUAAUACAUCAGGGUCUCUAUUUUGACGUGGCAAAAUUGGAGAACGUCAACUAGACAUUGAUAAACAAUCUCUCUUUCCGCUGUAGUACUCUACCAUGAAAAUGAUCAAAGGGUUAAAUUGACUGAUUUAUCCUUUAUGAUUUUCGUUUACAAUACCUUUACGCUAACUCACCUUUGAAUGAAUAACAUGAAGCAUCUCAUAAAUAUCUAGGAUCGUUACCAUUUCAUUUCUACCUGCUGCGUUAAAGGAAACAUCUUUCAAUGUUACAACCAUUCCUGAAUUGUUUUGGUUCAAUAACUCGUGUAAAAAUUCAAGAGCAUUCGGACAAACGAGUUGAGACUUUUGACAGAUCCAUAAAAGAACACGUAGAUGAUUCAUUUCGAUCGUUAUAGGUUUAUCACACUGUAAACAAAAAAUCCCUUACGUUACUUUUCUUAAUCCCAAAAUAUUCUUUUUUCUUUUGCAGUAGUCGAUUAUUAUUUAUCAUUGUUUUUUCUUACCUCGAUCGAAGAUAGCGAUUGAAAGUGGAUAAUAAAAGUGAGGAAUUUGAAGGAAAUUGCAGAUAACGUUAACUCGUUUUCAGAAAACGCAUAAUCAUGUAAUUUCUCUAAUAAUCUUGUCUCAUUUACGUAUUUUGAAAGAACUGUCAAACGUAAAUGUUUUCUUUUAAUUAAAGUCUUUAUUUAAGUAUUAUAUAUUUCUAUAUCAUAUAUUCUGUUUUACAAUUAGCUAAAUUCUUUCGGUGCAACUCACUUUUGAAGUAAUUGUGUUCCAUACAAGCAACAAGUAUGGCAUACGUCUGCUUUAAAAGUAACUUCUGGAAACAUGCAUCUACAUCUUCAGUUAAUAUCAUUUUGAUGAGAGCAUCCGCGCAUACUUUUAUCGUAUUUUUUGGUAAAUUACGGGGUUCCGACAUAUUUGAUAAUUCGAGCACUGCUUUAAUAUGCUCAACUAUAAAUAAUAUUGUAAUAUGUUAAUAUGGAUGUUACGACAAUAGUUUUUACAGAAAGUAUAAACUGAACGUUUUGAAAUUGAAUACUUCGAUUUGGACCAUCGGAUAAUAAGACAUUUGGUAACAUGUUCCAAACUAUAUCAGCGAUCUCGUCGCAAUUGCUAGUCUGCAUCGAUUGAUGUAUUCCUUUAACAGCUAAGCUAACUACCUCACCGAGGCCAUUUUGUACUGUAAUCUAUGUUUAAAAGGUUAUUUAUAUAGUGAGCGAGAUAUGAAAUGUAUAGAUUUAAAGAGAUGCAACUGUUCAAAAUUCAUUAAAUAAUAUAAUGAAAGGAGACGUUGCAUGUACCAAUAAACAAUGUUUAACGACGCUGUGACAAUCGAGCUUCAAAAGAGGUAGAACAUCCCCAUCGGAUUCUAUUAACCACAUAUUUAUUACUCUGUAUCGCAAAUCGUUCGUUAUCUCUGGACAUUUUAAACAAAAAUGUAGGAGCUCAAUGUGAUGGGUAUAAUAUUGACUUAAUUCCAAAUAUUGUAAAGCCAUUGUUAAUUUUUUCACUGCAUUUUCGUAUUCAAAAUUUUCUCCCGGUGAUGGGUGAGACAAAAAUGAAACCUAAAGAAUAAAUCUUUUAAUAAUAAAACAAGACCAAACCUAGCGCUUCGAAUAAAGUUUUUAAUCUUCCUAGUAGAAAGAAAUAAACUCACAGCAAAUAAAAACCAUAAUGGCUUUAGAGUUGGUACAGUUAUCGAUCCAAGAUCUUCUAGAUCUAACAAUCUUUUUAUCAGAGAUUCGAACGUAAUCAUAUCAAGUCUGAAAUAAACAAACGAUAACCGA
rnacentral:lncRNA from 1 species